CCUUAGUGGCACAUUUUACUGUGGUAGUAUGUUUAUAUGUAAAAGAAUUAAAAGCUGAUAUACCGAGACUAUCAUAAUUCAUGCAUGUUUGUGCCUUCCAAAGAUACAAAUGUUGGAUGCAAUAAGCAAAGGGUUCUAACUGUUCCAAACAUGAAAGUAGGCAUAAUAAUACUUGACAGUAUAUCCACACUUUCAUUUAUGUGCUUAGUGUUAUGUGACGUGUUCCAAAUCUAGGGAGUGUACUCCUGCAUCACCUUCAUUAGUAUACAUUUCUUAUUUCAAGUUGCUAUUGACAGAUGGACAGUCGUAAUCCAGACGCAUCUCCGUCAGGAACCGGAAAACGUUCUCCGGUUAAGGACCCGACGAACACACCAGCUCAUUUUCAAUUGCUUAACCAAGGUUCAGGGAUGUGAUCCAGGUUUCCAGAAUGGAAUACAAAACAUCCACACAAUGAGAGAUAGUGUUUCUCGCCUUAGGGAUUAUGUGGAUGCCCAUGGGUCAAUAUCAUCGAAUGGUUCCUCUUUAGCUCUAUCCCUUGUCGGAGACUGGGCAAGCAUUUGAUUUUUUUUCACACUGUAAUGUAUGCAUGUUCACUGAGAAGCAAACAAAAGAAUAAUACCAAUAUUUUCUCUUUCA